ACUGUUUGGAGUGGGGAACCCAUCCUUCACUGAUGGAGUGGACAGGUGAUCAGAGAACCAUCCCACCAAGAGAAGGACCCUCUUGAGGCCCUCCAUCUCUGCAUGUCAGGCUGUGAGACAGAGCAUAGAACUGGUGUCAGGUCACAGGAGAGUGAUCCCCCAACACUCUGGGCCAUGUUCCAACCCCGCCUGCCCCAAUUCCCAUUGUGCAAAAUCCAUCUGCAACCUAUUCCAGGCAGUUGGGGCUGCAGACACAACCCUCACACAGCAAUGCACUGGGAAGGAGAUCUUCUGGAGACACAGACUCAAGGCAAUUGCAGGAAGAAAACAUAGGGAGGGAAGUUAUCCAACUACAGGCAUACCUUGGAGACGUUGCAGAUUCAGUUGCAGACCACUGCAACAAAGCAAGUAUCACAAUAAAGUGAGUCACACGAAUAUUUUUGGUUUCCCAGUGCAUAUAAAAAUUAUGCUGACAUUAUAUUGCUGUUUGUUAAGUGUGCAGU
rnacentral:lncRNA from 1 species